rnacentral:lncRNA from 1 species
ACCAUCCAUCGUUGUUGUUGUUCCCCUUCCUUCUCGUCAAUCCGAGCCGGACUCCAACACCGAAGGUAGGAAAGCCGCCGGAGGCAGCUCGCCACCCCACUACACCAACUGCUUUCCCUUUUUACUCUCGUUGUGUACUGUCGGACGGGAAUCCAACUCACAAUACCAUACAUGCCAUUCAAGAACACCCACAUACAAAUCAGUUUAUGGGGGAUGAACACCCACAAACAAAUUGAUUUCAAAAAAUGAGAACACAUACUCUCCAAAAAGAAAAACACACACAUAAAUCAAUUUCGGAAAUGAGAAAACACAAAAAAAACAGAAACACACUAUCUGAUUCCAUUUGAGGGAAUUAAUACACAUAAACACGCACAAUUUCGGUUUUGAUUCAAAUUUAGGCUUUCGAUUCUUGAGUUACCAUCUGAAAAACCCUUGGCGAAUAAAUUUGGGAAGGAGGCGAUGAUCUUCAUCUGAUUUCGUUUUUUGCUUGCAUCUAAUUUAGAUCUUCAUUGCUUACAAUUUGUAGGUUUAGUACCCCCAAGAUUCCCCAGUGAGUAAAUUGUUAGAGACUGAAAAGAAAUAGACAUAAAUGAGGUUUACCCCAAUGCUUUAAGGAAGUGAAGAAUUGAAAAGAUUGUUGGAGAAAUCAAAGAAGGCAGCAACUUGUGGUGGAACCGGAAUCACCCUAGUGAGGCGAUUGGAAUACAGAUUGAGGACAAAAAGCGGAGGAAGGUUCAGAUAUGAAAAACCUCCAUUUCCAACCUCCCAGAUUCAACUUGGUAUUUCUCCAGCAAUUUUGUUGUCUGAGAGGUCUAAAUUUAUAAAUCGUGUUUGGAUGAAAUUAGGGUGAUCGUGUGUGAACCAUAGAAAGGUAGAGACUGGAGAUGAAAGGGAUGAAGUCGAGUAAAUGUACAGACAGCAAAACCUGCAACUCCGAUCUCUCUUUUAUUUGUCCUGAUUUUAACCCAUGUGGAGAGAGAGAGAGAGAGAGAGAGAGAGAGAGA